UACGUAGGCAGCGAGCGUUGUUCGGAGUUACUGGGCGUAAAGGGUGCGUAGGUGGCCGUGGCAGUUCGAUGUGAAAGCUCGGAGCUUAACUCCGAAAUGGCAUUGAAUACUCUACGGCUCGAGGGUCGGAGGGGAGACUGGAAUUCUCGGUGUAGCAGUGAAAUGCGUAGAUAUCGAGAGGAACACCAGUGGCGAAGGCGAGUCUCUGGACGACACCUGACACUGAGGCACGAAAGCUAGGGGAGCAAACAGG
rnacentral:rRNA from 1 species